rnacentral:rRNA from 1 species
ACUCCUACGGGAGGCAGCAGUGGGGAAUAUUGGACAAUGGGGGAACCCGUGAUCCAGCCAUGCCGCGUGUGUGAAGAAGGCCUUAUGGUUGUAAAGCACUUUAAGCGAGGAGGAGGCUACUGAGACUAAUACUCUUGGAUAGUGGACGUUACUCGCAGAAUAAGCACCGGCUAACUCUGUGCCAGCAGCCGCGGUAAUACAGAGGGUGCGAGCGUUAAUCGGAUUUACUGGGCGUAAGCGUGCGUAGGCGGCCAUUUAAGUCAAAUGUGAAAUCCCCGAGCUUAACUUGGGAAUUGCAUUCGAUACUGGAUGGCUAGAGUAUGGGAGAGGAUGGUAGAAUUCCAGGUGUAGCGGUGAAAUGCGUAGAGAUCUGGAGGAAUACCGAUGGCGAAGGCAGCCAUCUGGCCUAAUACUGACGCUGAGGUACGAAAGCAUGGGGAGCAAACAGGAUUAGAUACCCUGGUAGACUGUCAU